rnacentral:rRNA from 1 species
CGCGUAGGCGGUCCUGAUCGUCGGAUGUGAAAGGCCUGGGCUCAACCUGGGAACUGCAUCCGAUACGGCGGGACUGGAGUGUGGGAGAGGUUGGUGGAAUUCCCAGUGUAGAGGUGAAAUUCGUAGAUAUUGGGAAGAACACCGGUGGCGAAGGCGGCCAACUGGACCACAACUGACGCUGAGGCGCGAAAGCGUGGGGAGCAAACA